AACACAAAUAUGCAACAUGCAUGCAAACCUAUCCUAAAUAUGUAAAGUGAUGACAAAUGAUGAGAAAUGGUAUAAAACAGUGAUGAUAUGAUGCUAAAGUGUUAACAAAUAGAUGAUCAAAACAUGCAAAAUACACACUUAUCAACUCCCCCAAAUUUAGUCUUUGCUUGCCCUCAAGCAAACAAUUAAGAACAAGCUGGAGGUGAGGUUUGAAAGCGGGGACUCAGAGCCAAAGCACCAGAUAAACCAGAUGAAAUCAAUUUCCAAGUUGAAAGUUCGAAGCCGCAAGAUGAUCGAAUUCUACUUAAAAACGUUAACCAUGCCUCAUUAUCAAUCAAUCCGACUCAUAUGCUCGACCUACACAUGUUUUCAAAUCUACCAAUCCCUUUAACAUUCAUUAGUUCUGGAACGUGAAUCAAGCAAUGCAUCAUCAAUGAACUCAUUUGGCUAAGGUAAAAGGUCAAGAGACAAAGAUGGUCCCUUACAGAAUAGGUUUCCGUAACAAGGGAUCUCUCAAAAAAUGAUUACACUUUAGUAGAAUGCUAAACGUAAGUUCCAAGCUAUGCAUAUAGAGAUAAGAUCCCAUCUACCCAGAGUAUGUCAAAUGAAGCUCUAAUGGUAAUCCCAUCUCUAAUCCCAAUAUAAGAACUUAACUCUACCCUUUGCAUUCAUGAAUCUUUUAAGCCCUUUUUCUAAUCAUUCUUUUCUUUUCUCUUAACUUUAGGAGAAGCUUUCUCAACACUUUGAUACAUGUAGCGGAUUUGGAUUUCUUUAACAACUAAUGUUCCUGUUUUUAACAUUUUAAAACCAAGGGAUUUUGCCCAUCUUCAAUAGCUAACAAGAACUCUUUCUUUUCUUUACAAAUCCCAAAACCUUUACUAGACUUUUUCUGCUUCUUUAGCUUACUUCACCUAGAGUCUUUUACCUUUUCUUAUCAAUGAAUCAACCCUUUUUUUUU
rnacentral:sRNA from 1 species